GACGAACGCUGGCGGCGUGGAUUAGGCAUGCAAGUCGAACGGUAUCAUCCUUUCGGGGGUGAGAGAGUGGCGAACUGGUGAGUAACACGUAGGUUAUCUACCCUCAAGACGGGGACAACCCAGGGAAACUUGGGCUAAUACCCGGAUGUGAGCAACUUUUAGUUGUUUGAAAGGUGGCGUAAGCUGUCGCUUGGGGAUGAGCCUGCGUCCUAUUAGUUAGUUGGUGAGGUAACGGCUCACCUAGGCAAUGAUAGGUAGGCGGCCUUAACGGGUGGUCGCCCACACUGGGAUUGAGAUACGGCCCAGACUCCUACGGGAGGCAGCAGUCGAGAAUAGUCUACAAUGGUCGGAAGACUGAUAGUGCGACGCCGCGUGAACGAUGAAUCCCUUCGGGGUGUAAAGUUCUUUUAUAUGUGAGCAGUGCUUCUUAUAUUAACAGUAUGGGGAGAGAGAUAUUAGCAUAUGAAUAAGCAACGGCUAACUCCGUGCCAGCAGCCGCGGUAAA
rnacentral:rRNA from 1 species